UUCCUCUCAGGAUCGCAUCUGGAGAGUUUCCAAUAUUCUACCUGUCUUGACUGCAGGAGGGAGAGUCAAGCAGGGGCAUACCCAUUCCAUGCCUAGCUUGGGCAGUAGUUAGAGAGUGGAAGGCAGUUUGCUACAAGG